rnacentral:rRNA from 1 species
UACGUAGGGUGCAAGCGUUGUCCGGAAUUAUUGGGCGUAAAGAGCGUGUAGGCGGCCCGGUUAGUCCGCUGUGAAAGUCCAGGGCUCAACCCUGGAAUGCCGGUGGAUACUGUCGGGCUAGAGUCCGGAAGGGGCGAGUGGAAUUCCUGGUGUAGCGGUGAAAUGCGCAGAUACUCAGGAGGAACACCAAUGGCGAAGGCAGCUCGCUGGGACGUGACUGACGCUGAGACGCGAAAGCGUGGGGAGCAAACAGG